rnacentral:rRNA from 1 species
UACGUAGGGGGCAAGCGUUGUCCGGAAUCAUUGGGCGUAAAGCGCGCGUAGGCGGCCCGGUAAGUCCGUUGUGAAAGUCAAAGGCUCAACCUUUGAACGCCGAUGGAUACUGCCGGGCUAGAGUCCGGAAGAGGCGAGUGGAAUCCUGGUGUAGCGGUGGAAUGCGCAGAUAUCAGGAGGAACACCAAUAGCGAAGGCAGCUCGCUGGGACG